rnacentral:rRNA from 1 species
UACGAACGGUCCAAACGUUAUUCGGAAUCACUGGGCUUAAAGCGUCCGUAGGCGGCUCGGAAAGUAGGGUGUGAAAUCCCACGGCUCAACCGUGGAACUGCGCCCUAAACUACCGAGCUUGAGGAAGAUAGAGGUAAGCGGAACUGAUGGUGGAGCGGUGAAAUGCGUUGAUAUCAUCAGGAACACCGGUGGCGAAGGCGGCUUACUGGGUCUUUUCUGACGCUGAGGGACGAAAGCUAGGGUAGCGAACGGG